UAGGGAAUCUUCCGCAAUGGGCGAAAGCCUGACGGAGCAACGCCGCGUGAGUGAUGAAGGUCUUCGGAUCGUAAAACUCUGUUAUUAGGGAAGAACAAAUGUGUAAGUAACUAUGCACGUCUUGACGGUACCUAAUCAGAAAGCCACGGCUAACUACGUGCCAGCAGCCGCGGUAAUACGUAGGUGGCAAGCGUUAUCCGGAAUUAUUGGGCGUAAAGCGCGCGUAGGCGGUUUUUUAAGUCUGAUGUGAAAGCCCACGGCUCAACCGUGGAGGGUCAUUGGAAACUGGAAAACUUGAGUGCAGAGGAGGAAAGUGGAAUUCCAGGUGUAGCGGUGAAAUGCGCAGAGAUAUGGAGGAACACCAGUGGCGAAGGCGACUUUCUGGUCUGUAACUGACGCUGAUGUGCGAAAGCGUGGGGAUCAAACAGG
rnacentral:rRNA from 1 species